CUGCCGCUGGCGGAGGAGCUGCGCGGUCGGCCCGCCGUGCUGACCGGCGACGCGCAUCCGGGGCUGGGCGCCCCGGCGGUGCA
rnacentral:tRNA from 1 species